rnacentral:rRNA from 1 species
UACGGGGGGGGCAAGCGUUGUUCGGAAUUACUGGGCGUAAAGCGCACGUAGGCGGCUUUCUAAGUCAGGGGUGAAAUCCUGGAGCUCAACUCCAGAACUGCCUUUGAUACUGGAGAGCUUCGAGUCCGGGAGAGGUGAGUGGAACUCCGAGUGUAGAGGUGAAAUUCGUAGAUAUUCGGAAGAACACCAGUGGCGAAGGCGGCUCACUGGCCCGGUACUGACGCUGAGGUGCGAAAGCGUGGGGAGCAAACAGG